UACAGAGGGAGCAAGCGUUGUUCGGAAUUACUGGGCGUAAAGGGCGCGUAGGCGGUUCGAUAAGUCCCGUGUGAAAUCCCUCGGCUCAACUGAGGAACUGCACGGGAAACUGACGGGCUUGAGUUCGGGAGAGGGAAGCGGAAUUCCGGGUGUAGCGGUGAAAUGCGUAGAUAUCCGGAGGAACACCGGUGGCGAAAGCGGCUCACUGGACCACAACUGACGCUGAUGCACGAAAGCUAGGGGAGCAAACAGG
rnacentral:rRNA from 1 species